AUUGAACGCUGGCGGCAGGCCUAACACAUGCAAGUCGAGCGGAUGAAGGGAGCUUGCUCCUGGAUUCAGCGGCGGACGGGUGAGUAAUGCCUAGGAAUCUGCCUGGUAGUGGGGGAUAACGUCCGGAAACGGGCGCUAAUACCGCAUACGCCCUGAGGGAGAAAGUGGGGGAUCUUCGGACCUCACGCUAUCAGAUGAGCCUAGGUCGGAUUAGCUAGUUGGUGGGGUAAAGGCCUACCAAGGCGACGAUCCGUAACUGGUCUGAGAGGAUGAUCAGUCACACUGGAACUGAGACACGGUCCAGACUCCUACGGGAGGCAGCAGUGGGGAAUAUUGGACAAUGGGCGAAAGCCUGAUCCAGCCAUGCCGCGUGUGUGAAGAAGGUCUUCGGAUUGUAAAGCACUUUAAGUUGGGAGGAAGGGCAGUAAGUUAAUACCUUGCUGUUUUGACGUUACCAACAGAAUAAGCUCCGGCUAACUUCGUG
rnacentral:rRNA from 1 species